rnacentral:rRNA from 1 species
AGGAUGAACGCUGGCGGUGUGCCUAAUACAUGCAAGUCGUGCGGCAGCGAGCUCUUCGGAGUGUCGGCGAGCGGCGGACGGCUGAGUAACACGUAGGAACGUACCCCAAAGUGAGGGAUAACUGCUCGAAAGAGUAGCUAAUACCGCAUGUGAUCUAAGGAUUAAAGCUUCGGCGCUUUGGGAACGGCCUGCGUUCGAUUAGCUAGAUGGUGAGGUAAAAGCUCACCAUGGCGACGAUCGAUAGCUGGUCUGAGAGGAUGAUCAGCCAGACUGGGACUGAGACACGGCCCAGACUCCUACGGGAGGCAGCAGUAGGGAAUUUUCCACAAUGGGCGAAAGCCUGAUGGAGCAACACCGCGUGCAGGAUGAAGGCCUUAGGGUCGUAAACUGCUUUUAUAUGUGACGAUUAUGACGGUAACAUAUGAAUAGGAUCGGCUAACUCCGUGCCAGCAGCCGC